rfam:Schistosoma mattheei strain Denwood, Zambia genome assembly, scaffold: SMTD_scaffold0000242
AUCCAGCUGACGAGUCUCAAAAUAGAACGAAACGCGCGUUCUGGAU